UACGAAGGGGGCUAGCGUUGUUCGGAAUUACUGGGUGUAAAGGGUUCGUAGGCGGUGUGGCAAGUCGGGAGUGAAAUCUCUGGGCUCAACUCAGAGACUGCUUCCGAAACUGCUGUGCUGGAGUGUGGGAGAGGCGCGUGGAAUUGCAGGUGUAGCGGUGAAAUGCGUAGAUAUCUGGAGGAACACCGGUGGCGAAGGCGACAUCCUGGACCGGUAUUGACGCUGAGGCGCGAAAGCCAGGGGAGCAAACGGG
rnacentral:rRNA from 1 species